rnacentral:rRNA from 1 species
ACCGCUAGGAUCGUUUACUUUGAGGAAAUUAGAGUGUUCAAAGCAGGCGUAACUCGCCUCCGAAUACGUUAGCAUGGGAUAAUGGAAUACGACUUCGGUCUUGUUUCGUUGGUUUCGCUUGGCUGAAGUAAUGAUUGAUAGGGACAGUUGGGGGCAUUAGUAUUUAGUUGUCAGAGGUGAAAUUCUAGGAUUUACUAAAGACUGACCAAUGCGAAAGCAUUUGCCAAGGAUGUUUUCAUUAAUCAAGAACGAAAGUAGGGGGAUCGAAGACGAUCAGAUACCGUCGUAGUCUCUACCGUA